rnacentral:sRNA from 1 species
UUUGCUUACAGUGUUAAAAUGCUUGUUGAUUUAAAAAAGUGAGUGGGAAAACCCUGCAAUUUGUCUUCAUGUAAAUGUGUCCAGUUAAAUGGUAGGCAGUUAUAAGUAACUUUGAUAUCAGCCUAUUUACAAGAAUUAGUGCUUAUUAAACACAAAGUGCCAUAUUUCAAUAAAUUGAUGAACAAUGUGUACAAAGAGAUUAAUUUUUCGUAUCAGCGCAUCUUGUUAUACAUUUGUAUUACUUAUUGAUUAAAAAGAUGUGUAGU